rnacentral:rRNA from 1 species
CGCUGGCGGCGUGCCUAACACAUGCAAGUCGAACGUCCUUCCUCUCGCAAGAGGGGGAGGCAGUGGCGGACGGGUGAGUAGCACAUGGGUGACCUGCCUUCCAGUGAGGAAUACCGGCGAGAAAUCGCCGACAAUGCCGCAUAGGCUCCUGUGCCCGCGAGGGCAGAGGAGCAAAGCUCCGCAAGGGGCGCUGGAAGAGGGGCCCGUGGCCGAUUAGCUGGUUGGUGGGGUAAAAGCCUACCAAGGCGACGAUCGGUAGCUGGUCUGAGAGGACGAUCAGCCACACUGGGAUUGAGAACGGCCCAGACUCCUACGGGGGGCAGCAGUGAGGAAUUUUCCGCAAUGGGCGCAAGCCUGACGGAGCAACGCCGCGUGCAGGACGACGGUCUUCGGAUUGUAAACUGCUUUUCCCAGGGACGAGUUUGGACGGUACCUGGGGAACAAGCCCCGGCUAACUACGUGCCAGCAGCCGCGGUAAUACGUAGGGGGCAAGCGUUGUCCGGAGUUACUGGGCGUAAAGCGCCCGCAGGCGGUCGGCC